rnacentral:rRNA from 1 species
AUGCAAGUCGAGGGGCAGCGAGGGAGUGGCAACACUUCUGUCGGCGACCGGCGCACGGGUGCGUAACGCGUAUGCAACCUACCUUUAACAGGGGGAUAACCGGGAGAAAUUCCGACUAAUACCGCAUACAUCCUCCGGGGGCAUCCCCGGGGGAUGAAAGAAUUAUCGGUGAAGGAUGGGCAUGCGUGAUAUUAGGUAGUUGGCGGGGCAACGGCCCACCAAGCCCACGAUAUCUAGGGGUUCUGAGAGGAAGGUCCCCACAUUGGUACUGAGACACGGACCAAACUCC